CCAGGAAGGUAGGUGCAAGGCACACGCUGGGCAGCAGAGGGACUCAAUGUUUCCAGCUGCCACUUUCUUCCCACAAUGAUGGAUCCGCUCCAGGAUCAGGCCUUGCUGAAUGAGACCGUGUCUUCUCAGGAACCAACUGGAGAUCGUUCUGCUUCAGCCUCUUAGGAGGCCUGGGAACCUGGACUUCUUUGACCCUACCAGCAAAGAUGGAGAAGUUGUCCCUGAGAUGUCUGGUCUCAGACAACAGUUUACAACAGAAGCUGUUCAGCUACAGGGGAGUCCCCAGCUCCCUGAAGGCCUGGAACCUUGAAUUUAGUUUCUCCCUAUGAUUAAAUGGAGUCUGCAAACAGAAU